rnacentral:rRNA from 1 species
GAUGAACGCUAGCUACAGGCUUAACACAUGCAAGUCGAGGGGCAGCAUGGUCUUAGCUUGCUAAGGCCGAUGGCGACCGGCGCACGGGUGAGUAACACGUAUCCAACCUGCCGUCUACUCUUGGACAGCCUUCUGAAAGGAAGAUUAAUACAAGAUGGCAUCAUGAGUCCACAUGUUCACAUGAUUAAAGGUAUUCCGGUAGACGAUGGGGAUGCGUUCCAUUAGAUAGUAGGCGGGGUAACGGCCCACCUAGUCUUCGAUGGAUAGGGGGUUCUGAGAGGAAGGUCCCCCACAUUGGAACUGAGACACGGUCCAAACUCCUACGGGAGGCAGCAGUGAGGAAUAUUGGUCAAUGGGCGAGAGCCUGAACCAGCCAAGUAGCGUGAAGGAUGACUGCCCUAUGGGUUGUAAACUUCUUUUAUAAAGGAAUAAAGUCGGGUAUGGAUACCCGUUUGCAUGUACUUUAUGAAUAAGGAUCGGCUAACUCCGUGCCAG